rnacentral:rRNA from 1 species
UACGUAGGUGGCAAGCGUUGUCCGGAAUUAUUGGGCGUAAAGCGCGCGCAGGUGGUUCCUUAAGUCUGAUGUGAAAGCCCACGGCUCAACCGUGGAGGGUCAUUGGAAACUGGGGAACUUGAGUGCAGAAGAGGAAAGUGGAAUUCCAAGUGUGGCGGUGAAAUGCGUAGAGAUUUGGAGGAACACCAGUGGCGAAGGCGACUUUCUGGUCUGUAACUGACACUGAGGCGCGAAAGCGUGGGGAGCAAACAGG